rnacentral:rRNA from 1 species
GAGUUUGAUCAUGGCUCAGAUUGAACGCUGGCGGCAUGCCUUACACAUGCAAGUCGAACGGCAGCAUGAUCUAGCUUGCUAGAUUGAUGGCGAGUGGCGAACGGGUGAGUAAUACAUCGGAACGUGCCCUGUAGUGGGGGAUAACUAGUCGAAAGAUUAGCUAAUACCGCAUACGACCUGAGGGUGAAAGGUGGGGGACCGCAAGGCCUCAUGCUAUAGGAGCGGCCGAUGUCUGAUUAGCUAGUUGGUGGGGUAAAGGCCCACCAAGGCGACGAUCAGUAGCUGGUCUGAGAGGACGAUCAGCCACACUGGGACUGAGACACGGCCCAGAC